CCCUUAGAUGUCCGGGGCCGCACGCGCGCUACAAUGGAAAAGGCAGCGUGUUUUACAUUUAUCCUGGGCCGAAAGGCUUGGGUAAUCCGCUGAAACUUUUUCGUGAUUGGGAUUGAGCUUUGUAAUUAUCGCUCAUGAACGAGGAAUUCCCAGUAAGCGCGAGUCAUCAGCUCGUGCUGAUUACGUCCCUGCCCUUUGUACACACCGCCCGUCGCUACUACCGAUUGGAUGAUCUAGUGAGACCUUCGGACUAGCCGACGACGCUGUCAGCUUCGGUUGCGGCUGCGUUCGGCCGGAAAGAUGUUCAAACUAGCUUAUCUAGAGGAAGUAAAAGUCGUAACA
rnacentral:rRNA from 1 species